GUCCUUUUGGUUAAGUAAAAGGUCUGGCCUGCCCAGUGAGUUUUUAACGGCCGCGGUAUCUUGACCGUGCAAAGGUAGCAUAAUCAUUAGUCUUUUAAUAGGAGGCUGGAAUGAAGGGUUUCACGAAACGUAGACUGUCUCAUAUGUAUUAGUUGAAUUUAACUUUUAAGUUAAAAGGCUUAAAUUAUUUUGUAGGACGAGAAGACCCUAUAGAGCUUUACAUUAUUAAUCUUUUUUUAUUUAGUUAAAUAAUAUUAUUUUGAGGUGAAGUAAUGUUUUGUUGGGGUGACGAGAAUAUAUGAUUAACUUUUAUUAUUUUAUUAACAUUAAUAUAUGAUUAAUGGAUCCAUUAUUAUUGAUCAUUAGAAUAAGUUACCUUAGGGAUAACAGCGUAAUCUUCUUUCAGAGUUCAAAUUUACAAGAAGGGUUGCGACCUCGAUGUUGGAUUAAGAUAAUAGUUAGGUGCAGUAGCUUAAUUUAUAGGUCUGUUCGACCUUUAAAAUCUUACAUGAUCUGAGUUCAGACCGG
rnacentral:rRNA from 1 species